UACGGGGGGGGCAAGCGUUGUUCGGAAUUACUGGGCGUAAAGCGCGCGUAGGCGGUUUGUUAAGUCAGCUGUGAAAGCCCCGGGCUCAACCUGGGAACUGCAGUUGAUACUGGCCGACUAGAGUACGAGAGAGGGAGGUAGAAUUCCAUGUGUAGCGGUGAAAUGCGUAGAUAUAUGGAGGAAUACCAGUGGCGAAGGCGGCCUCCUGGCUCGAUACUGACGCUGAGGUGCGAAAGCGUGGGGAUCAAACAGG
rnacentral:rRNA from 1 species